GCGGAAGUAGCUCAGUUGGUAGAGCACAACCUUGCCAAGGUUGGGGUCGCGGGUUCGAGUCCCGUCUUCCGCUC
rnacentral:tRNA from 1 species